rnacentral:misc_RNA from 1 species
UUUCCGUAGGUGAACCUGCGGAAGGAUCAUUAUUGAAACUUGAAUCGUAGCAUUGAGAACUGUUGCAGACCUGUUAAAGGGUAUGUGCACGUUCGACGUGUUGCGUUCUAUUCAUCCACCUGUGCACCUUUGUAGACUUGAUUAACUUUCGCUCUCGAGCGGUUAGAAGGGUUGCUUUCGAGCUCCCUUUGUCUAUCAAGUCUAUGUCUAUAUAAUCUCUUGUAUGUCUAGAAUGUCUUGUUUAUGGGACGCAAGUCCUUUAAAUCUUAUACAACUUUCAACAACGGAUCUCUUGGCUCUC